rnacentral:tRNA from 1 species
GUCCCGAUAGGGUAGUGGAUAUCCUGGAAGCCUCCGGAGCUUUCGACCCGGGUUCAAGUCCCGGUCGGGGCG